rnacentral:lncRNA from 1 species
ACAGCGGUAGCUCAGUGGACUCUGGUUCCCACGCUCCGUCCCGCCUGGUCCCGGGUCACCGGCUGUGGGCGGACAGACGCGGGCGUCACGUUCUGGGUCUGAUCGAGGACUAUAACGCCCUGCGCAAACAGAUCAGUGAAGCCAAGAGGCUCACUGCAGAUCUGGACACACAGAUACACGACUGCGGCCGGGCUGCGGAUCAGCUGAAGAGCGUCUCUGGCAGUGUGAACACUAUGCAGCAGGUUCUGGAGGAGGCAGCUCGGCUUCUCAAACUGCUCUGGAGAGUCUCACUACCCUCAGGAGACACCACACACACUCAACAGGAGGAGCUGCUGAAGAGUGAGAUCAGUCGUCUGAAGACUCGUCUGUCUCAGCAGGAGCGGAUGUUGAGCGGAGCUGUCAAACGCCUCAGAUCCUCCAACCAGCUGAAAGAGGGCGUGGAGCGCGUCAUCAUCGACCAGCGUAAGAGAGCAGCACACACACACACACACUCACUCAUGCAGAGUCAACCAACACUGAUGUGUGUGCCGUGUUUCUGCAGUGUCUCUGACUCACGGCGUGCUGAAGAGAGCCAGAGGAAACCUGGAGGUGCGUUACCCUUGUGUUCUUUGACAUGCAUUCGGUGCAGUAGAGUAAACCAAACUCUCUGCUCAGCCUGCGGAAAAUUAAUCGAGGCUUCCACAAAAAUAUAA